rnacentral:rRNA from 1 species
GCAAAUCAAUAUAAUCUGAAAUUGUUAUUUUUACUUUUAUUUAUAAAUUUAAUUAAUUUUGAGAAAAAUUAUUUAUUGUUAUUGUAUUUAUUUAAGAUUAAAUUUUUUUUAUAAUAGUUUAUUUGUACUGUAAAGGAAUUUAAUUUUAUUUAUAUAAGUUGAUUUUAUUGAUUGUACCUUGUGUAUCAGGAUAUACUUAAAAUUAAUAUUUAUUUAUUGUUCUCGAUUUUAUAUGAGUUAAUUAAAUAUUUUUAUUUAUUGUUAUAUAAUUAUUUAUAAUAUUUAUUUAGUAGUGAAAUGUUAUUCGUUUUUAAUGGUAUCUAGUUUCUUAAGAAAUAAAUUUAAUUUAUGUACAUUAUUUCAUAUAUUAAUAAUAUAAAUUUAUUUAUUAAUAUUAAAUAAUUGUCAAUAUUUUGAGGGAUAAGCUUUGAAGUAUAAAUUAAUAAAUUUUAUUUUAAAAUAAGUCUAGUGAAUUUAAAGGUGGUUAUUUCUAUUUAAGUGUGUUGAAAUUUUACUUACUUAUGAUUACAUUUAUAUUAAUUUUUAUUUUUUUAUUAAAAAUAUUUAAUUAAUAAUUAGUUAAUUGUUAUAAUGAUAAAAUUAGUAUAAAUUAUUAGUGGAAUUAUUAAUUUUUGGUAAUAAGUUAUUAGGAAUUAGGCAAAUAUAUUACUCGAUUGUUUAUCAAAAACAUUUUUUUUUGUUUUUAUUUAAAAUAUAACCUGCCCACUGAUUUAUUUAAAUGGCCGCGGUAUUUUGACCGUGCAAAGGUAGCAUAAUCAUUAGUUUUUUAAUUGGGGACUGGAAUGAAUGGUUUAACGAGGUAUUUACUGUUUCUUUUUUUUUAUUUGAAUUUAAUUAUUUAGUGAAAAGGCUUAAAUUUUGUUAUGGGACGAGAAGACCCUAUAGAUUUUUACAUUAAUUUAAUUAUUUUAGUUUGUUUAUACAAUUAUUUAAUUAUAUUAUUGUUUAGUUGGGGUGACUUAAAGAUAAAUAUAUCUCUUUAUUUUUUAUAUAUUUAUUUAUAGUUUAUUGAUCCAUUAUUAUUGAUUUUAAGAUUAAAUUACCUUAGGGAUAACAGCGUUAUUUUUAUUGAGAGUUCUUAUUGACAUAGAAGAUUGCGACCUCGAUGUUGGAUUAAGAUAAAUUUUGGGUGUAGAAUUUCAUAAAUUGAGUCUGUUCGACUUUUAAAAUCUUACAUGAUCUGAGUUCAAACCGGUGUAAGCCAGGUUGGUUUCUAUCUAUAAUUUUUAAAUAUUCUAGUACGAGAGGACCGAAUUAUUUUAAUAAUUAUUUUUUAAGUAUAAUUUUAAUUUACUAUUUUGGCAGAUAAGUGUAAUAAAUUUAGAAUUUAUUUAUGUAGAUUUUAUUUC